rnacentral:rRNA from 1 species
CCUACGGGUGGCAGCAGUGAGGAAUAUUGGUCAAUGGGCGGGAGCCUGAACCAGCCAAGCCGCGUGAGGGAAGACGGUACAGCGUAUCGUAAACCUCUUUUGUCAGGGAACAAAGGCGGGGACUAGUCCCCGGAUGAGGGUACCUGAAGAAAAAAUAUCGGCUAAAUCCGUGCCAGCAGACGCGGUAAUACGGAGGAUGCGAGCGUUAUACGGAUUUAUUGGGUUUAAAGGGUGCGCAGGCGGCAUGUUAAGUCCGCGGUAAAAGCCCGGGGCUAAACCCCGGCGAGCCGUUGAAACUGGCGGUCGGGAGUGGGAGAGAAGUACGCGGAAUGCGCGGUGGAGCGGUGAAAUGCGUAGAUAUCGCGCAGAACCCCGAUUGCGAAGGCAGCGUACCGGCUCCACACUGACGCUGAAGCACGAAAGCGUGGGUAUCGAACAGGAUUAGAUACCCGAGUAGUC